AGCAGUCGCCACGGGAAUACGUAGGGUGCAAGCGUUAAUCGGAAUUACUGGGCGUAAAGCGUGCGCAGGCGGUUAUAUAAGACAGAUGUGAAAUCCCCGGGCUCAACCUGGGAACUGCAUUUGUGACUGUAUAGCUAGAGUACGGCAGAGGGGGAUGGAAUUCCGCGUGUAGCAGUGAAAUGCGUAGAUAUGCGGAGGAACACCGAUGGCGAAGGCAAUCCCCUGGGCCUGUACUGACGCUCAUGCACGAAAGCGUGGGGAGCAAACAGGAUUAGAUACCCGUGUAGUCCCUGUCUCUUAUAC
rnacentral:rRNA from 1 species